rnacentral:rRNA from 1 species
AGUGGCGGACGGGUGAGUAACGCGUGAGGAUCUGCCCUUAGGAGGGGGACAACAGUUGGAAACGACUGCUAAUACCCCAUAUGCCGGGAGGUGAAAUAAGAUUUGCCUGAGGAUGAACUCGCGUCCGAUUAGCUAGUUGGUGGGGUAAGGGCUUACCAAGGCGACGAUCGGUAGCUGGCCUGAGAGGAUGAUCAGCCACACUGGGACUGAGACACGGCCCAGACUCCUACGGGAGGCAGCAGUGGGGAAUUAUCCGCAAUGGGCGCAAGCCUGACGGUGCAAGACCGCGUGCGGGAUGAAGGCCUGUGGGUUGUAAACCGCUUUUCUCUAGGAAGAAUGAUGACGGUACCUGAGGAAUCAGCCUCGGCUAACUCCGUGCCAGCAGCCGCGGUAAUACGGAGGAGGCAAGCGUUAUCCGGAAUUACUGGGCGUAAAGCGUCCGUAGGUGGUUUAUCAAGUCUGCUGUCAAAGACUGGAGCUUAACUUCGGGAAGGCAGUGGAAACUGAUAGGCUAGAGUGCGGUAGGGGUAGGGGGAAUUCCCAGUGUAGCGGUGAAAUGCGUAGAUAUUGGGGAGAACACCGGUGGCGAAAGCGCCCUGCUGGGCCGCAACUGACACUGAGGGACGAAAGCUAGGGGAGCGAAAGGGAUUAGAUACCCCUGUAGUCCUAGCUGUAAACGAUGGAGACUAGGUGUUG